UUUUAAAGCGAUUUAUGCGCCUUCAAAGUUGGAGAUGAGAGAGUGAGAGACAGCAGAGAAAACGACUGUCUAUUUCUCUGCACUCUCGCCUCCAACUUUGAAGGCGCGUAACUCGCUUCAAAA
rnacentral:sRNA from 13 species